rnacentral:rRNA from 1 species
AGGGGGGGCCUUAACACAUUGCAAGUCGAACGGUAACAGGAAGCAGCUUGCUGCUUUGCUGACGAGUGGCGGACGGGUGAGUAAUGUCUGGGAAACUGCCUGAUGGAGGGGGAUAACUACUGGAAACGGUGGCUAAUACCGCAAACGUCGCAAGACCAAAGAGGGGGACCUUCGGGCCUCUUGCCAUCAGAUGUGCCCAGAUGGGAUUAGCUUGUUGGUGAGGUAACGGCUCACCAAGGCGACGAUCCCUAGCUGGUCUGAGAGGAUGACCAGCCACACUGGAACUGAGACACGGUCCAGACUCCUACGGGAGGCAGCAGUGGGGAAUAUUGCACAAUGGGCGCAAGCCUGAUGCAGCCAUGCCGCGUGUAUGAAGAAGGCCUUCGGGUUGUAAAGUACUUUCAGCGGGGAGGAAGGUGUUGUGGUUAAUAACCGCAGCAAUUGACGUUACCCGCAGAAGAAGCACCGGCUAACUCCGUGCCAGCAGCCGCGGUAAUACGGAGGGUGCAAGCGUUAAUCGGAAUUACUGGGCGUAAAGCGCACGCAGGCGGUCUGUCAAGUCGGAUGUGAAAUCCCCGGGCUCAACCUGGGAACUGCAUUCGAAACUGGCAGGCUUGAGUCUUGUAGAGGGGGGUAGAAUUCCAGGUGUAGCGGUGAAAUGCGUAGAGAUCUGGAGGAAUACCGGUGGCGAAGGCGGCCCCCUGGACAAAGACUGACGCUCAGGUGCGAAAGCGUGGGGAGCAAACAGGAUUAGAUACCCUGGUAGUCCACGCCGUAAACGAUGUCUACUUGGAGGUUGUGCCCUUGAGGCGUGGCUUCCGGAGCUAACGCGUUAAGUAGACCGCCUGGGGGAGUACGGCCGCAAGGUUAAAACUCAAAUGAAUUGACGGGGGCCCGCACAAGCGUGGAGCAUUGUGGUUUAUUCGAUGCAACGCGAAGAACCUUACCUGGUCUUGACAUCCACAGAACUUUCCAGAGAAUGGGAUUGGUGCCUUCGGGAACUGUGAGAAAAGGUGCUGCAUGGGCUGUCGUCAGCUCGUGUUGUGAAAUGUGGGUUUAAGUCCCGCAACGAGCGCCAAACCCUUAUCCGUGUUGCAGCCGUUCGGGCCGGGAACUCAAGGAGACUGCCAGUUGAUAAACUUGAGGAGUGGGGAUGAACGGUCAGUCAUCAUGGCCCUUACGAUCAGGCUCACCCAACGUGUCUAACAAAUGUGGCGCGCCUAUCA